CUCUUUAUGAUGAUUUAAACAGUUUGACUUUCGUUCUUCUGAGACUGAUGAAGUCAAAAAAAUUCUGUCCUGAGAGAG